rnacentral:rRNA from 1 species
GACGAACGCUGGCGGCGUGCCUAAUACAUGCAAGUUGAGCGCUGAAGGUUGGUACUUGUACCAACUGGAUGAGCAGCGAACGGGUGAGUAACGCGUGGGGAAUCUGCCUUUGAGCGGGGGACAACAUUUGGAAACGAAUGCUAAUACCGCAUAAAAACUUUAAACACAAGUUUUAAGUUUGAAAGAUGCAAUUGCAUCACUCAAAGAUGAUCCCGCGUUGUAUUAGCUAGUUGGUGAGGUAAAGGCUCACCAAGGCGAUGAUACAUAGCCGACCUGAGAGGGUGAUCGGCAACACUGGGACUGAGACACGGCCCAAACUCCUACGGGAGGCAGCAGUAGGGAAUCUUCGGCAAUGGAAGAAAGUCUGACCGAGCAACGCCGCGUGAGUGACGAAGGUUUUCGGAUCGUAAAACUCUGUUGGUAGAGAAGAACGUUGGUGAGAGUGGAAAGCUCAUCAAGUGACGGUAACUACCCAGAAAGGGACGGCUAACUCCGUG